rnacentral:rRNA from 1 species
AGCGAACGCUGGCGGCAGGCCUAACGCAUGCAAGUCGAACGGACCCUUCGGGGUUAGUGGCGGACGGGUGAGUAACACGUGGGAACGUGCCUUUAGGUUCGGAAUAGCUCCUGGAAACGGGUGGUAAUGCCGAAUGUGCCCUUCGGGGGAAAGAUUUAUCGCCUUUAGAGCGGCCCGCGUCUGAUUAGCUAGUUGGUGGUGUAACGGACCACCAAGGCGACGAUCAGUAGCUGGUCUGAGAGGAUGAUCAGCCACAUUGGGACUGAGACACGGCCCAAACUCCUACGGGAGGCAGCAGUGGGGAAUCUUGCGCAAUGGGCGAAAGCCUGACGCAGCCAUGCCGCGUGAAUGAUGAAGGUCUUAGGAUUGUAAAAUUCUUUCACCGGGGACGAUAAUGACGGUACCCGGAGAAGAAGCCCCGGCUAACUUCGUGCCAGCAGCCGCGGUAA